GUAAAUACUAAAUAGUGUACAAACCAAAAAAUAUUCAGAGCUGCAUUAUAUUUCCUCGUUGAAAAGAAUUAAAACACUUUGAAGAGCAUGUGAGUUGCUAUUUAAUCCCUUAAAAGUCAGCAUUUGCAUUUAAGAGAGGCAAGAUGAUUUUCAUCAUAUCUUCACUCUCUCUGAUUUCAGACUUCUCCAACGUAUAAAUAGGUUAAUGGUGAAAAGCACUAUCCAGUUUGAGAAAUGCAGAGUGUAAAUAACUUGAUUAACGAUAAGGGAAAACUCCUUUUUUGAGAAAGACAUAAUAUCCGAAGUUCUUUUUAUCAUCUUCACAUAGGAUGCCAGGCUAUUUGUUGCCAUUACAAAAUCAUUCCCACAGUUCAGUACUCAUCAUAAUAAAUCCUUGAUUACUCUAUAGGGGAUUGUUAAAAAAA
rnacentral:misc_RNA from 1 species